rnacentral:rRNA from 1 species
GAUGAACGCUGGCGGCGUGCCUAAUACAUGCAAGUCGAGCGAACAGACGAGGAGCUUGCUCCUCUGACGUUAGCGGCGGACGGGUGAGUAACACGUGGAUAACCUACCUAUAAGACUGGAAUAACUUCGGGAAACCGGAGCUAAUACCGGAUAAUAUAUUGAACCGCAUGGUUCAAUAGUGAAAGACGGUUUUGCUGUCACUUAUAGAUGGAUCCGCGCCGCAUUAGCUAGUUGGUAAGGUAACGGCUUACCAAGGCAACGAUGCGUAGCCGACCUGAGAGGGUGAUCGGCCACACUGGAACUGAGACACGGUCCAGACUCCUACGGGAGGCAGCAGUAGGGAAUCUUCCGCAAUGGGCGAAAGCUUGACGGAGCAACGCCGCGUGAGUGAUGAAGGUCUUCGGAUCGUAAAACUCUGUUAUUAGGGAAGAACAAAUGUGUAGGUAACUAUGCACGUCUUGACGGUACCUAAUCAGAAAGCCACGGCUAACUACGUG